rnacentral:tRNA from 1 species
GGAGAGGUGUCCGAGUGGUUUAAGGGUCUGACCUGGAAAGUCAGUGUGCUCGCAAGGGUACCGGGGGUUCGAAUCCCCCCCUCUCCG